rnacentral:rRNA from 1 species
CUACGGGGCGCUGCAGGCGAGAAAACUUUGCAAUGUGCGAAAGCACGACAAGGUUAAUCCGAGUUGUUUGUGCUAAACGAACCUUUUGACAGUCCUAGAAACACUGUUGAAUAAGGGGUGGGCAAGUUCUGGUGUCAGCCGCCGCGGUAAAACCAGCACCUCAAGUGGUCAGGAUGAUUAUUGGGCCUAAAGCAUCCGUAGCCGGCUCUGUAAGUUUUCGGUUAAAUCUGUACGCUCAACGUACAGGCUGCCGGGAAUACUGCAGAGCUAGGGAGUGGGAGAGGUAGACGGUACUCGGUAGGAAGGGGUAAUAUCCUUUGAUCUAUUGAUGACCACCUGUGGCGAAGGCGGUCUACCAGAACACGUCCGACGGUGAGGGAUGAAAGCUGGGGGAGCAAACCGGAUUAGAUACCCUAGUAGUC